rnacentral:rRNA from 1 species
UACGUAGGGGGCUAGCGUUGUCCGGAAUCAUUGGGCGUAAAGCGCACGUAGGCGGAUUGUUAAGUCGGGGGUGAAAUCCUGGAGCUCAACUCCAGAACUGCCUUCGAUACUGGCGAUCUCGAGUCCGGGAGAGGUGAGUGGAACUGCGAGUGUAGAGGUGAAGAUUCGUAGAUAUUCGCAAGAACACCAGUGGCGAAGGCGGCUCACUGGCCCGAUACUGACGCUGAGGUGCGAAAGCGUGGGGAGCAAACAGGG